rnacentral:misc_RNA from 1 species
AACUUUUGGCAACGGAUCACUUGGUUCUGGCAUCGAUGAAGAACGCAGCAAAAUGCGAUAAGUAAUGUGAAUUGCAGAAGUCAGUGAAUCAUCGAAUCUUUGAACGCACAUUGCGCCCGCCAGUAUUCUGGCGGGCAUGCCUGUUCGAGCGUCAUUUCAACCCUCAAACCCCCGGGUUUGGUGUUGGGGAUCGGCGAGUCUGCAAGGACGAGCCGGCCCCGAAAUCUAGUGGCGGUCUCGCUGCAGCCUCCAUUGCGUAGUAGCUAACACCUCGCAACUGGAACGCGGCGCGGCCAAGCCGUUAAACCCCCCAAAUUUCUGAAUGUUGACCUCGGAUCAGGUAGGAAUACCCGCUGAACUUAAGCAUAUCAAUAAGCGGAGGCU